GAACGCUGGCGGCGUGCCUACUACAUGCAAGUCGAGCGAACAGACGAGGAGCUUGCUCCUCUGACGUUAGCGGCGGACGGGUGAGUAACACGUGGAUAACCUACCUAUAAGACUGGGAUAACUUCGUGAAACCGGAGCUAAUACCGGAUAAUAUAUUGAACCGCAUGGUUCAAUAGUGAAAGACGGUUUUGCUGUCACUUAUAGAUGGAUCCGCGCCGCAUUAGCUAGUUGGUAAGGUAACGGCUUACCAAGGCAACGAUGCGUAGCCGACCUGAGAGGGUGAUCGGCCACACUGGAACUGAGACACGGUCCAGACUCCUACGGGAGGCAGCAGUAGGGAAUCUUCCGCAAUGGGCGAAAGCCUGACGGAGCAACGCCGCGUGAGUGAUGAAGGUCUUCGGAUCGUAAAACUCUGUUAUUAGGGUAGAACAAAUGUGUAAGUAACUAUGCACGUCUUGACGGUACCUAAUCAGAAAGCCACGGCUAACUACGUG
rnacentral:rRNA from 1 species